rnacentral:rRNA from 1 species
UACAGAAAGUGCGAGCGUUAAUCGGAAUUACUGAACGUAAAACGUGCGUAGACGGCUAUCUAAGUCGGGUGUGAAAGCCCCGGGCUCAACCUGGGAAUUGCAUUCGAGACUGAAUAGCUAGGGUACGGUAGAGGGAAGCGGAAUUUCCGAUGUAGCAGUGAAAUACGUAGAUAUCGGAAGGAACAUCAGUGGCGAAAGCAGCUUCCUGGACCAGCACCGACGUUCAGACACGAAAGCGUAAAGAGCAAACAAA